CGCUAGGCUUGACCGGGACGUUCGGCGUGUCCUUGUACACCAAAAUCGUCGACAGUGGGGGUGACAGCUGGGGACGUCGUAACCGAACCGGUGCCAGUCCAACGACCAACAGUGAGAUCCUGUCCGAUGGGGCUGAAGGCGGCCGCAUGUUCCUGCCGGAGGGCGGGGGCGUCGGCCUUUGUCGCGGAGAUCGGGUCAGGCCCUGACGGGAGCAGCCUCACCGCGGACUAUCAACGCUCACCGGGAAGCGGGGUCGAGGAGGUCGAUGGGUAGCUGGUGCAGGGGAGGCCGGCAACCCCAGUCGCCUAGCA
rnacentral:SRP_RNA from 1 species